UACAGAGGUCUCAAGCGUUGUUCGGAAUCACUGGGCGUAAAGGGUGCGUAGGUGGCAUGGUAAGUCAGAUGUGAAAGCCCAGGGCUCAACCUUGGAAUUGCAUCCGAUACUGCUGUGCUAGAGUACUGGAGGGGUGACUAGAAUUCUCGGUGUAGCAGUGAAAUGCGUAGAUAUCGAGAGGAAUACCAAAGGCGUAGGCAGGUCACUGGACAGUUACUGACACUGAGGCACGAAGGCCAGGGGAGCAAACGGG
rnacentral:rRNA from 1 species